GCACUUCUUGAUGUGUGGUGCUAGGCCUGGAGGUGUGGAGGGCCUUCUGACUCCUUGCGGGUGAGUUAUGCAUUGAAGUGAGACGUGCCGAGAACUCAAGCUGACCACUGGAUGUCAUGCCAAAGUUGGCAGCAGGUCCUAGAGGUAUCUGGCUGCUAAGCAACCCCGUUUCAAGGAGGAAGUUGGGAAAGAGGAGCAUCAAUUAUAACCAAGGCCUAUAUUCAUCUGGAUCAGUUCAAUGUUUGCAAAAAUUGAAGUUACUGUACGUCAUUUUUUAAGAUUUCUGACUGUGGGAUUCACAGUUGAAAAUGCAGUGAAAGGUGAUGUGACUGUGGG
rnacentral:lncRNA from 1 species